rnacentral:rRNA from 1 species
GAUGAACGCUGGCGGCGUGCCUAAUACAUGCAAGUCGAGCGAACGGACGAGAAGCUUGCUUCUCUGAUGUUAGCGGCGGACGGGUGAGUAACACGUGGAUAACCUACCUAUAAGACUGGGAUAACUUCGGGAAACCGGAGCUAAUACCGGAUGAUAUUUUUAACCGCAUGGUUCAAAAGUGAAAGACGGUCUUGCUGUCACUUAUAGAUGGAUCCGCGCUGCAUUAGCUAGUUGGUAAGGUAACGGCUUACCAAGGCAACGAUGCAUAGCCGACCUGAGAGGGUGAUCGGCCACACUGGAACUGAGACACGGUCCAGACUCCUACGGGAGGCAGCAGUAGGGAAUCUUCCGCAAUGGGCGAAAGCCUGACGGAGCAACGCCGCGUGAGUGAUGAAGGUCUUCGGAUCGUAAAACUCUGUUAUUAGGGAAGAACAUAUGUGUAAGUAACUGUGCACAUCUUGACGGUACCUAAUCAGAAAGCCACGGCUAACUACGUG